CAUCAAGACCAAAAUGAAGCCAUCUACCAGGAGAUUUUAGAGCACUUCAUGCUUCCAUCUGCUAACAAGCUUUAUGGAGAUGAUGACUUCCUUUUCCAGCAGUACUUGCUACCUGCCC